rnacentral:lncRNA from 1 species
UUCCUUCAUGCUCUAAAGCUAUGGCCCGAUGACCUUGGUUACACUCAUUAGAGAAGAUUUCCUCUUUAGAGGGAAAAGUGGGGCUUGUUCUAGUCUUGGAAUUCAGUGAAAGAAGAGGGAAAGAUGAAAUAAGGGAAGAUGCUCUCCCCUGACCUCCAACAAAAACAAAAACCGCAGGUUUCACCUUCUUCCUUCUGCCUGGAUGGAUCAGAAUGCUUAUGCAAUGGAAAGUGCUGAUAAACUUCAUUUUCCUGGAAUGCUAGAAGUAGAAAGGACUUACUUCAAACACCAUUCAGUCUUCACCCAGGCACAAUACCAGGAGCUUAGGAGACACUGCUCUUCCCUGUACAGAAUUGUUGCAGGAGAUUUCAAGGUGAAUAAGUGUCCUGAGAAGGCUACAAUCAGGUGACCAGUGUGACCAGGAUCUCCAUCGAGGGGAAUGAUCAGAGGACCAACAAGACCAGAUCAUUCAUCAAAAUCAGCGGAUGUCCCAAAGAUAGUCCCAGAGACUGUGGAAACAGUAACCAAGUCUGAUGAAGAUGUCAACCAACAGCCCUAAAAAGCAUCCUACUUGAUCCAACCCAGCAAGGAGCCAGCUGAGCUGAUCCAAUAAGUAUUUCAUCUCCUGUGCAUGCUACUCUCAGAAGUGAACUUGGGUUGGGAUUUCUUAAAGGGAGAAAAGCACUCUGAGAGGCAAGGAAGUUCACUUUCUUGGUUUGAGGGGGCAUAUUUUAAAACAAUCACUUUAAAUUAGUCUCUUCUUCCUAAGAAGUAAGUGGCUAUGUGGUGGGGAGAGUCCACCUCUAUGGGGAGGGACAUUACUGUGCUAAUAUCCUUUGUAUAAAUCAGUAUCAGUAAAUAGCCCUGGGUUAUAAAAAAAUAAUUAGUGUUCAUUGAUAUUGUGAUGAUAUUAACUAGUUAGUUGAUACAAGAGAAUCUCCUAGAUGGGGGCUCAUGAGCAAUAGUAUUAGACUCUCUUACGCCCCAAAGCUAAUCCCAGAAUGCUGAGAAAAGCAGUACCUAGAUCUCUUCUGGGGCACCAACCUUGUAGGGCUUGUGAGAGUUGGGACAGUGAUACUAGAGCCUGUAAUGCAUACAGAUCUUUCUAACUCUGAUAUUCUGUUUCCUGGGGUUCCCUCUCUCCCUUGUCAAGUUCUUCCAGUUAAUAUCGUAUGGUAAUUCUGGUCCUGACUUCUUCAAAAAAGCUGUUGAUUAGAUAAUAUGUAUGAAAAGACUCAGAAAAACCCUGAGCCCUGGGUCUCCAUCAAAUCGCUUCAAGGAUGUUACCAUGCCCAUUCUACCUCUCCAUUUGCAAGAGUUUUGAUUGUCCUUACCCAGAGGAUACAUAGUAUGGGAAGAAAACAGAAUUGAACUUCAAAUCCCAAAGUGAAGAGCCUUUCUGGAUAUUU